rnacentral:rRNA from 1 species
GAGUUUGAUCGUGGCUCAGGAUGAACGCUGGCGGCGUGCCUAACACAUGCAAGUCGAACGAAGCACAUUGGAUUGAUUCUUCGGAAGAAGAGAAUGUGACUGAGUGGCGGACGGGUGAGUAACGCGUGGGUAACCUGCCUCAUACAGGGGGAUAACAGUUAGAAAUGACUGCUAAUACCGCAUAAGACCACAGUACCGCAUGGUACAAGGGGUAAACUACCGGUGGUAUGAGAUGGACCCCGCGUCUGAUCAGCUGGUUGGUGGGUAACGG